UGGAUGCUGAUGGGUAAAAGAUGCUUAUAUAAUCCAACACUUGACCUGAGAUAGUUCACUAUCGAGUGAUGUUUAAUUCAUUUUCUUCUGAAUCUAC